rnacentral:rRNA from 1 species
ACUCCUACGGGAGGCAGCAGUGGGGAAUUUUGGACAAUGGGCGAAAGCCUGAUCCAGCAAUGCCGCGUGCAGGAUGAAGGCCUUCGGGUUGUAAACUGCUUUUGUACGGAACGAAACGGUCUUUUCUAAUACAGAAGGCUAAUGACGGUACCGUAAGAAUAAGCACCGGCUAACUACGUGCCAGCAGCCGCGGUAAUACGUAGGGUGCAAGCGUUAAUCGGAAUUACUGGGCGUAAAGCGUGCGCAGGCGGUUAUGUAAGACAGUUGUGAAAUCCC